rnacentral:rRNA from 1 species
GACGUAGGGCGCGAGCGUUGUCCGGAUUUAUUGGGCGUAAAGAGCUCGUAGGCGGCUCGUUGCGUCAACCGUGAAAACCCGGGGCUUAACUUCGGGCUUGCGGUUGAUACGGGCGGGCUGGAGUUCGGUAGGGGAGACUGGAAUUCCUGGUGUAGCGGUGAAAUGCGCAGAUAUCAGGAGGAACACCGGUGGCGAAGGCGGGUUGCUGGGCUGACACUGACGCUGAGGAGCGAAAGCGUGGGGAGCGAACAGG